CUACGGGUCGCAGCAGUGGGGGAUAUUGCACAAUGGGCGAAAGCCUGAUGCAGCAACGCCGCGUGAAGGAUGACGGAUUUCGGUCUGUAAACUUCUAUCAGCAGGGAAGAAAAUGACGGUACCUGACUAAGAAGCCCCGGCUAACUACGUGCCAGCAGCCGCGGUAAUACGUAGGGGGCAAGCGUUAUCCGGAAUUACUGGGUGUAAAGGGUACGUAGGCGGCUGAUCAAGUCAGAUGUGAAAGCCCGGAGCUCAACUCCGGGAUUGCAUUUGAAACUGGUCGGCUAGAGUGCAGGAGGGGAAAGUGGAAUUCCUAGUGUAGCGGUGAAAUGCGUAGAUAUUAGGAAGAACACCAGUGGCGAAGGCGGCUUUCUGGACUGUAACUGACGCUGAGGUACGAAAGCGUGGGGAGCGAACAGGAUUAGAUACCCCCGUAGUC
rnacentral:rRNA from 1 species